UGGGGAAUCUUGCGCAAUGGGCGAAAGCCUGACGCAGCCAUGCCGCGUGAAUGAUGAAGGUCUUAGGAUUGUAAAAUUCUUUCACCGGGGACGAUAAUGACGGUACCCGGAGAAGAAGCCCCGGCUAACUUCGUGCCAGCAGCCGCGGUAAUACGAAGGGGGCUAGCGUUGCUCGGAAUUACUGGGCGUAAAGGGAGCGUAGGCGGAUAGUUUAGUCAGAGGUGAAAGCCCAGGGCUCAACCUUGGAAUUGCCCUUGAUACUGGCUAUCUUGAGUACGGAAGAGGUAUGUGGAACUCCGAGUGUAGAGGUGAAAUUCGUAGAUAUUCGGAAGAACACCAGUGGCGAAGGCGACAUACUGGUCCGUUACUGACGCUGAGGCUCGAAAGCGUGGGGAGCAAACAGGAUUAGAUACCCCGGUAGUCCCUGAGCGGGCUGGCAAGGCGCAU
rnacentral:rRNA from 1 species